GCCUGGGUGGCUCAGUCGUUAAGCAUCUGCUUUCAGCUCAGGUCAUGAUCCUGGAGCCGUGGGAUCGAGUCCCACAUCAGGCU
rnacentral:tRNA from 1 species